rnacentral:rRNA from 1 species
UACGGGGGGGGCAAGCGUUGUUCGGAAUUACUGGGCGUAAAGGGCUCGUAGGUGGCCAACUAAGUCAGACGUGAAAUCCCUCGGCUUAACCGGGGAACUGCGUCUGAUACUGGAUGGCUUGAGUUCGGGAGAGGGAUGCGGAAUUCCUGGUGUAGCGGUGAAAUGCGCAGAUAUCAGGAGGAACACCGGUGGCGAAGGCGGAUCUCUGGGCCUUACC